rnacentral:lncRNA from 1 species
GUCCAUUAAACACAGUCUUUAGUUCUUUAAAACAAUUAUUUCUCAAAGAUCAUGCUAAUUGAAGAAUUUAUUGGACUGUUGCGAUUAUUGUUGCUAGCUGAGAAGAUAGGAUUCCUUCUACUGACUUUAAUCCUUUCCCUCAAUAGGAAUACUAUUCUCCGACACGUUUGGUUCGGCUGGGGACCUUUUGGUGACUCCUCGCAGAGUAACACAACCUAUUCGGUUGAAAACUUUCUCUCUUCUCGAUCGGUUCUCUCUCGCAAAACUUCCUCCCCAGAGAAAGAUGAAUAUCCGUCUUUUUACC